UACAGAGGUCUCGAGCGUUAGGCGGAAUCACUGGGCUUAAAGCGUGUGUAGGUGGAUGCCUAAGUACCUUGUGAAAUCCCACGGCUUAACCGUGGAACUGCUUGGUAUACUGGGUGUCUUGAGUCACUCAGGGGCGAGCGGAACAAAUGGUGGAGCGGCGAAAUGCGUAGAUAUCAUUUGGAACGCCAAUGGUGAAAACAGCUCGCUGGGGGUGCACUGACACUGAGACACGAAAGCCAGGGGAGCGAACGGG
rnacentral:rRNA from 1 species